UCUUCAGUGACAACAGGAUGAUGGUCUUAG
rnacentral:piRNA from 1 species